rnacentral:rRNA from 1 species
UACGAAGGGGGCUAGCGUUGCUCGGAAUCACUGGGCGUAAAGCGCACGUAGGCGGAUCUUUAAGUCAGGGGUGAAAUCCCGGAGCUCAACUCCGGAACUGCCUUUGAUACUGGAGAUCUUGAGUCCGGGAGAGGUGAGUGGAACUGCGAGUGUAGAGGUGAAAUUCGUAGAUAUUCGCAAGAACACCAGUGGCGAAGGCGGCUCACUGGCCCGGUACUGACGCUGAGGUGCGAAGGCGUGGGGAGCAAACAGG